GCGAACGCUGGCGGCAUGGCUAAAGCAUGCAAGUCGAACGCGAAUUCACCUUCGGGUGAUAGUAGAGUGGCGAACGGGCGAGUAAUAUUUUCCUAACGUACCCUGGGGCCGGGGAUAGCCAGCCGAAAGGCUGGGUAAUACCCGAUGACCCCGCGAAGCCGCAUGGCUUUGCGGGCAAAGGCUUGCUUCCUUGGGAUCGGGGAAAACACUAUCAGGUAGUUGGUGGGGUAACGGCCUACCAAGCCUAAGACGGUUAGCGGGUGUGAGAGCAUGACCCGCCGCAUCGGGACUGAGACACUGCCCGGACUCCUACGGGAGGCUGCAGCGACGAAUCUUCCGCAAUGGGCGCAAGCCUGACGGAGCAAUGCCGCGUGUGGGAUGAAGCCUUUCGGGGUGUAAACCACUGUCAAGGUUUAGCAACAAAAAUGAGCAAACCUAAAGGAAG
rnacentral:rRNA from 1 species